CCUACGGGCGGCAGCAGUGAGGAAUAUUGGUCAAUGGGCGCAAGCCUGAACCAGCCAAGUCGCGUGAAGGAUGAAGGAUCUCUGGUUUGUAAACUUCUUUUAUAGGGGAAUAAAGUGAGGAACGUGUUACUUUUUGUAUGUACCAUAUGAAUAAGCAUCGGAUAACUCCGUGCCAGCAGCCGCGGUAAUACGGAGGAUGCGAGCGUUAUACGGAUUGAUUGGGUUUAAAGGGUGCGUAGGUGGUUAAUUAAGUCAGCGGUGAAAGUUUGUGGCUCAACCAUAGAAUUGCCGUUGAAACUGGUUGACUUGAGUAUAGUUGAGGUAGGUGGAAUGCGUUGUGUAGCGGUGAAAUGCAUAGAUAUCACGCAGAACUCCGAUUGCGAAGGCAGCUUACUAAACUAUAACUGACACUGAUGCACGAAAGCGUGGGGAUCAAACAGGAUUAGAUACCCGUGUAGUC
rnacentral:rRNA from 1 species